rnacentral:rRNA from 1 species
GACGAACGCUGGCGGCGUGCUUAACACAUGCAAGUCGAACGGAAAGGCCCUGCUUUUGUGGGGUGCUCGAGUGGCGAACGGGUGAGUAACACGUGAGUAACCUGCCCUUGACUUUGGGAUAACUUCAGGAAACUGGGGCAAAUACCGGAUAGGAGCUCCUGCUGCAGGGUGGGGGUUGGAAAGUUUCGGCGGUUGGGGAUGGACUCGCGGCUUAUCAGCUUGUUGGUGGGGUAGUGGCUUACCAAGGCUUUGACGGGUAGCCGGCCUGAGAGGGUGACCGGCCACAUUGGGACUGAGAUACGGCCCAGACUCCUACGGGAGGCAGCAGUGGGGAAUAUUGAACAAUGGGCGGAAGCCUGAUGCAGCAACGCCGCGUGCGGGAUGACGGCCUUCGGGUUGUAAACCGCUUUCGCCUGUGACGAAGCGUGAGUGACGGUAAUGGGUAAAGAAGCACCGGCUAACUACGUG